AUGGCGCACCUCUAUAUAGGCCGUCAGGUCGAUCGAUCAUACAUUGAGUACCAUAUAACUGGAAUUAACCGAUGCAAGUCCAAGAAGGAUUGGCCGGUGCUGUCGGCUAGCGUCAAGUUCGAUCCCACGGAUCAGGAGCUGAUUGAGCACCUUGAGGCCAAAGUGAGUGCUGACAGCGCGAGAUCUCACCCUCUCAUCGUUUUGUUCAUACCAACCAUCGGCAGCGAGCACGACAUAUGCUACACCCAUCGUGAGAAACUUCCAGGUAUCAUACUGAGUGGCCUAAGCAAGCAUUUUUUCCAGCGCAAUUCUAGGGCAUUCAAAAGGGGCACGUGGACGCGUCGCAAGAUACAGUCGGAGGUCGGCAUGCACACAAUGUGGCACAAGACUUGGAAUACAUUGCCGGUGAUGGUCAACGGCCAGCAGACGGGCAGCAAAAAGGCCGAAGAAAGGCAUCCUCCAAAGAGGAGUAGGGGGAAGCUGGUCAUACCCGAUGAUAGUUCGGACUCUGAUAAGGAGUCCGUAGCCUCUGAGAAAGUCCAGGAGAAGCUGGCGCACGACCUCCCUACCGACCAGAUAUCAGAGGGCACCUCUCACUAG
rnacentral:rRNA from 1 species